rnacentral:rRNA from 1 species
GACGAACGCUGGCGGCGUGCUUAACACAUGCAAGUCGAGCGGAAAGGCCCUUCGGGGUACUCGAGCGGCGAACGGGUGAGUAACACGUGAGUAACCUGCCCUAGACUUUGGGAUAACCCUCGGAAACGGGGGCUAAUACCGGAUACUCCUUCUAAAUCGCAUGAUUUGGUUGUGAAAGUUUUUCGGUCUGGGAUGGACUCGCGGCCUAUCAGCUUGUUGGUGGGGUAAUGGCCUACCAAGGCGAGGACGGGUAGCCGGCCUGAGAGGGCGACCGGCCACACUGGGAAUGAGAAAAGGCCCAGACUCCUACGGGAGGCAGCAGUGGGGAAUAUUGCACAAUGGGCGGAAGCCUGAUGCAGCGACGCCGCGUGAGGGAUGACGGCCUUAGGGUUGUAAGCCUCUUUCAGCAGGGACGAAGCGUAAGUGACGGUACCUGAAGAAGAAGCGCCGGCCAACUACGUG